AAGUUGCGAAGUGGGGAUAGUCGGCUUGGAGGGACGACAACAAAGCCGGUCCUUUGACAUACUUUUAUAGUUACCGCUUCAGUUGUGUUUUGGUCUUCGACGAGAGAACUUAGAAAUUUCCGCGGAGGCCGUUCGAGCGAUUAUUAACGCAGACUAAAGUUGCGAAGUGGGGAUAGUGGGCUUGGAGGGACGACAACAAAGCCGGUCCUUUGACAUACUUUUAUAGUUACCGCUUCAGUUGUGUUUUGGUUUCGACGAGAGAACUUAGAAAUUUCCGCGGAGGCCGUUCGAGCGAUUAUUAACGCAGACAAAAGUAGCGAAGUGGGGAUAGUGGGCUUGGAGGGACGACAACAAAGACGGACCUUUGACUUACUUUUACAGUUACCGGUUCAGUUGUGUUUUGGUCUUCGACGAGAGAACUUAGAAAUUUUCGCGGAGGCCGUCCGUGCGAUUAUUAACGAACAGACUAAAGUAGCGAAGUGGGGAUAGUCGGCUUGGAGGGACGACAACAAAGACGGUCCUUUGACUUACUUUUACAGUUACCGGUUCAGUUGUGUUUUGGUCUUCGACGAGAGCACUUAGAAAUUUUCGCGGAGGCUGUUCGUGCGAUUAUUAACGAA